rnacentral:rRNA from 1 species
GCUGCGGGUUAAGCGAGCAGUGUGAUAAGAAGUAGCGGAACACACCUGUUCAGGGCCUGGUUAGUACUGGGAUGGGAGACCGCCUGGGAAUACCAGGUGCCUUAAGCU